rnacentral:rRNA from 1 species
AUGAACGCUGGCGGCGUGCCUAAUACAUGCAAGUCGAGCGAACAGACGAGGAGAUUGCUCCUCUGACGUUAGCGGCGGACGGGUGAGUAACACGUGGAUAACCUACCUAUAAGACUGGGAUAACUUCGGGAAACCGGAGCUAAUACCGGAUAAUAUAUUGAACCGCAUGGUUCAAUAGUGAAAGACGGUUUUGCUGUCACUUAUAGAUGAAUCCGCGCCGCAUUAGCUAGUUGGUAAGGUAACGGCUUACCAAGGCAACGAUGCGUAGCCGACCUGAGAGGGUGAUCGGCCACACCGGAACUGAGACACGGUCCAGACUCCUACGGGAGGCAGCAGUAGGGAAUCUUCCGCAAUGGGCGAAAGCUUGACGGAGCAACGCCGCGUGAGUGGUGAAGGUCUUCGGAUCGUAAAACUCUGUUAUUAGGGAAGAACAAAUGUGUAAGUAACUAUGCACGUCUUGACGGUACCUAAUCAGAAAGCCACGGCUAACUACGUG